UACGGGGGGGGCAAGCGUUGUUCGGAAUUACUGGGCGUAAAGGGUGCGUAGGCGGUUCGUUAAGUUAGAUGUGAAAACUCUGGGCUCAACCCAGAGCCUGCAUCUAAUACUGACGGGCUAGAGUUCUGGAGGGGGUAGCGGAAUUCCUGGUUUAGCGGUGAAAUGCGUAGAUAUCAGGAGGAACACCGGUGGCGAAGGCGGCUACCUGGACAGAAACUGACGCUGAGGCACGAAAGCUAGGGGAGCAAACAGG
rnacentral:rRNA from 1 species